GUUUUCAGUUACAGCCGAGCUGCGAAGCAGUUACAACCAAAAAAUAUACAAAAAAAAUACCUGAACCUACAAUAACUGAGAGUUUGCAAUUGGGUUGAAACAAAGCAGAACAACAUGCAAAUGAAAGCAAGUUUUGUUCCCCAGGGAGAAGAAUGACGGUUCUCAUCGCGGGGGAACAUUAUCUGUUCGAUUUGUUUAUUAUGUUGCCUAGUAUCAAUCUCAUUUCCGCAUACUCCUCCCAGAGGACUUGGAGACUUCGGGACAUUUCGAAAACGGCAAUGCUCAACUCGAUGACACUUUAUUGGACCAAAAGCAAUACUGAAGUAUUGAAUAAUUAUUUUCUAUUAAUUCUCGACUGCUUUCGUCUAUGUACAGAACAAUGAGCUCAUUUUCGCAUAAAGCGGAAACGGCCUUUUUGUCGUGCCCUUGACCAUGGUUCCAAAAUUGUUCCAUCAAUUACACUCCAUUUGUGGAUUCUAUCACAGUUCUUUCCAGAAGUUCAAAGACGGAGCAAACCGAUUUUCCAGGAACGAUCAACAGUAAAGGAGCAAAUAAAUGAGCACUUAAUCAGAAAAUAAUGAAGGGCAAACACCUUCACACUUUUGCAAAGGAAAUAAAUUUAUAAAUUUGAACUUAUAGAACUGUUUGCUAAAUAAAGUCUUAAAAAAAACUGGUUAA